CGUGGAUUGAACCUGACGUCAUAGUACGGGUGUUUUUCCUGUUGGGUCCUUGUGUAUAUGGCCACCUGGUGAGGGAGCAAAACCCUCCUCCUGCUUGUUAGUCAGCUUCAUUAGUGAAGCCCAGGCUGUAAAGGGCCUAAAUUCAUCAAGCCACUGUCACAGGGUUGCCACAUUGGAUUAUCUUAUCCCUAACAUCCUUUUCUAUCAACCCAACCCACUGCAUGUCUUCUUUCACCUCAUCCAUGAACCUCCUCUGUGGACUUCUUAUUUUCCUCCUGCCUGGCAACUCCAUAGUCAACAU
ensembl:lncRNA